GUCUCCAUAGUGCAAUCGGUUAGUGCAUUCAGCUCUUAACUGUAAAGGUUGGUGGUUCGAGUCCACCCAGGGACA
rnacentral:tRNA from 1 species